rnacentral:rRNA from 1 species
UACGGGGGGUGCGAGCGUUGUCCGGAAUCACUGGGCGUAAAGGGCGCGUAGGUGGUCUGAUAAGGGUGUGGUGAAAGUCCGGGGCUCAACCCCGGAUCUGCCGUGCCGACUGUCAGACUCGAGGACUGUAGAGGCAGGCGGAAUUCCGGGUGUGGCGGUGGAAUGCGUAGAGAUCCGGAGGAAGACCGGUGGCGAAGGCGGCCUGCUGGGCAGUUACUGACACUGAGGCGCGACAGCGUGGGGAGCAAACGGG